rnacentral:rRNA from 1 species
GCAGCCGCGGUAAUACGUAGGUGGCGAGCGUUGUCCGGAAUUAUUGGGCGUAAAGGGAGCGCAGGUGGGACUUCAAGUCAGUCUUAAAAGUGCGGGGCUCAACCCCGUGAUGGGAUUGAAACUGUAGUUCUUGAGUGCAGGAGAGGAAAGCGGAAUUCCUAGUGUAGCGGUGAAAUGCGUAGAUAUUAGGAGGAACACCAGUGGCGAAGGCGGCUUUCUGGACUGUAACUGACACUGAGGCUCGAAAGCGUGGGGAGCGAACAGGAUUAGAUACCCC